rnacentral:rRNA from 1 species
AGUUGGUGGUGUGAAUUGUCUGGUUGAUUCCGUUAACGAACGAGACCUUUACUAGUAAAUAGUCACGGGAAGGUUUUGCGUAAAGAUGUUGAGGGCCAUCCACUGGAAGGAUCCGUUCCCCAGAGGAUGCCGAUCCUCAGCAUUGCAUUUCUUCCUGGAAGUACUUCUUACUGGGACUAUUUGUGAUAAGCAAAUGGAAGUUGGAGGCCAAAACAGG